UACAGAGGGUGCAAGCGUUAAUCGGAUUUACUGGGCGUAAAGCGUGCGUAGGUGGUGAUGUAAGUCGGAUGUGAAAGCCCUGGGCUCAACCUGGGAACUGCAUUCGAUACUGCAUUACUAGAGUUCGGUAGAGGGCGGCGGAAUUCCGGGUGUAGCGGUGAAAUGCGUAGAUAUCCGGAGGAACACCGAUGGCGAAGGCAACCGCCUGGGCCUGAACUGACACUGAGGCACGAAAGCGUGGGGAGCAAACAGG
rnacentral:rRNA from 1 species